GACGAACGCUGGCGGCGUGCUUAACACAUGCAAGUCGAACGGUGAACCACUUCGGUGGGGAUCAGUGGCGAACGGGUGAGUAACACGUGGGCAACCUGCCCUUAGCUCUGGGAUAACCCCGGGAACCGGGGACGUAAUACCGGAUACGACCUCGAGCGGCAUCACUCGAGGUGGAAAGAACUUCGGCUAAGGAUGGGCCCGGCCGGCCUAUCAGCUUGUUGGUGGGGUAAGUGGCCCACCAAGGCGACGACGGGUAGCCGGCCUGAGAGGGCGACCGGCCACACUGGGACUGAGACACGGCCCAGACUCCUACGGGAGGCAGCAGUGGGGAAUAUUGCGCAAUGGGCGAAAGCCUGACGCAGCGACGCCGCGUGAGGGACGAA
rnacentral:rRNA from 1 species